UACGUAGGGGGCUAGCGUUGUCCGGAAUCAUUGGGCGUAAAGCGCGUGUAGGCGGUCCGGUAAGUCCGCUGUGAAAGUCGAGGGCUCAACCCUCGAAUGCCGGUGGAUACUGCCGGACUAGAGUUCGGAAGAGGCGAGUGGAAUUCCCGGUGUAGCGGUGAAAUGCGCAGAUAUCGGGAGGAACACCUAUGGCGAAGGCAGCUCGCUGGGACGUUACUGACGCUGAGACGCGAAAGCGUGGGGAGCAAACAGG
rnacentral:rRNA from 1 species